rnacentral:misc_RNA from 1 species
UUGGGGCUAUUGCUGCUAUGAAAGCUGGCUACCCUUGCUUAAUACUUCAUGAUGUUGACCUCUUACCUUUGAGGCCAGCAAACCUCUAUGCUUGCACUGAGCGACCCAGGCAUAUGUCAUCUAGCAUCAACAAAUAUAGUUUUGCACCUGGCAGCAUUGAUUUGGGUUGAAAAAUUUAACUGGUUGGUUUGAUCAGUUGAAUACUGCUCACAAAAAUUAAUCAGUGAAUAUUGUAGUAGUAGAAUAGAUUGAUGGUUCAGCCACUGAACAAAAAGGUUUGUCCUUCCAUAUUUAAACCUCGUUAGUGGUGCAAUAGCAAUUUUAUCAAAGCAGUUUAAAACUGUAAAUGGGAUGAGCAAUGAAUUCUAUGGUUUUGCUGGUGAAGAUGAUGACUUGUACUCGAGGUUGGAGGCAAGUAAUCUGAAACUGUGCAGGUUUCAGCCAGAGACUAGUCGAUAUCACAAGGUCUCAUCUAAACCUGAGAGAAAGGUAGAACAACGAAAAAAGGUGAUAAAGUUCACCAAGGAAAGGAUGGCAACAGACGGGUUAAGCUCACUACAAUACACAGAGGUAGCCACUGUUCUUCAUCCACUCUUUACCCAUAUCAUGGUUGACUUGUAGCAUAUCAUUUAAUACUACAAUUACACCCAUUUCUUUAGGUACUUUGUUAAAUAAUCCUUCUCAUCUAACCUGACCUUACACUCGUAAGUUGCUUCCUUAAAAAUUACGCAAGUAAGGACGCAAGUGUCUUGCGCAUGUUGAGGCACAUGCGCAGGUUACAUUUAUAUCGACUCGCGCAUGUACCAAAGCAAAAUACCCGCCCGCGUGCUCUUGUCACUUGCGCAUGUUAACUUGCUCCAGCUAUGUAUAUGCACCGUGUAGACGCACCCUAACUUCCAUAAGUUGUAAGAAAUUACUAUAAGCGACUAACAAAGGGAUUUUACAUUUGUAAAUGUAAUAUAAGCCACUUACGUGAGUAAAACUUACAAGUGUAAGGCUAGCCUAAAGUAAGACAAAUAUUUAUUUAAACAAGUACCAAAUCAAAUGGACUAUAGAGUUACUCAUAUCACUUCCUGUUCAAUUUCGCUUUAAUUAACUGAAAUUUUAAGACCACUUUAAUAUAAGUAGUGAGUUAGUAAGCUAGAAUAUUAGAAAUUAAUUCUUGAAACAAUAAACUUUAGACUCAAUUUCAAAUAUAGCUUGACUUGAAUAGAAGAUAGAUUCCAAAGCCAUAGUCAGACUACUGAUUAUAAAUUCACAUAAAAAUUAUAGUUUACAAGCAAUUUACGGCAGAUUUGUUAAAGGCCUGACAAUAUAAUAACCAAAUGUUUUAUUUAACACUACAUAAAAUUUGGGUGUAGGGCAGACAUCACAGACAACUACUUUUUGAAUACUAUUUUUGUUCAAAAUGUGGUAUUUCCAUAAUUACUGAUCUAUGAUCUCCUAACUACAUAAGAAAUGGCUUUUAUCAAAUCUGCUUUAAUGCAAUACUAGUCAUAAGAAGACCAAUACUUUUACUCAGCUAAACCGCUAAUGUUCCUAAUGUCAUUUCAAUCUAAUUAAAACAAUACUAUUAUAGUAAAACAUUGUGAUAUUCUUGUUGAGGGAUUGAACGAUUUCUGUCCAUAGAGUCCUGUAGUUAAUUAAUCUAGUGCAAUUACAUCUAAAUAAAUCUUAGUAUGUUACUAUUUAUGAGAAUUGAUUGUUUGAAAACUUUUAAAGUUGUUGACUUGUACUUAAAUUGUUUCUAUCAAUAAGCAAUUGUUUAUUCAAAUGUAUUGGAAUUUUAAUGUUUAUGUUAAGACCACUUGAAGUUAGGUAAAAUGUGAGUUUACGCUGUUUUGGAUGACGUCAGAGCGGUACCUACUUGUACUUUAUGAUACUGAAUAAAAAUUACGAACAUACGAAUUUGAACUUUAUAAUGAGAACAAUAAGGUCUCAAUUUCAAUAACCAGCUCUGGCGUCAUUAUCAUAGCGUCAAAUGCAUUGUUGGUAAGAUGUAAAAGGGAAAUGAAUUAUAGAAACAGCAAUUUUUGCAAUAAAACUGGAAUAGUGAUAAUAAUGAAUUGUUAAAUAAAUGAAAUAGAAAAGUCAUAUCAGUGAAACAAAGGAAUUUGAAUGAAAUUGUACCUAAUGGGUAGGUAAUUAUAAUAAGUAGAUCAGUUGGUAGAUAGCUAGGUUUUGACGUCAAUAGUGGUUUCUAGAAAGGUUUGAAUUUUAAAUAGAAAGUCCAUUAUUUUGUAAAUGACACUGUUAUUGCUGCUUUAACGUAGUCGGUUACACGUUUUACAAUAAGUAGAAUUUAAAAUUAAUAAAUGCAUAAAAAUAUCGUCCUAUAGAAUAAAAUAUCAAUACCUAGGUACUAUUCAAUCUCGCUGUGUCAGCCAUACUACUAAAUAUUUCAAUUUAUUCUACGUUACUUACCUAUUUCUACAAAUGAAUGUAAAUUCAUCCGUCCAUCAUUUGAGUACAGCUUUUCCAAGUUACCUACUAAACCACCAUCAGAAUCAAACAUAAAACCAUGAGGGCACAAUAAUACCGCUUGCUUGGCGACUACUACAGUAAAGAGUCGUAAGUACAAUUCUCAAUAGAGCCUUCUUGAGUUAUCAUUAUUGGACUGUAGAUCUGCUUUUAUAGGCAAAUGACGUCACUACCAGUAGGAAUAUUAAGCUCUAAAGCUAGUGGUAGUUUUUUUUUCAUCCAGUUUCAAAAGCAUAACUAUCCAGCUAGUGCAUUUGCUCAAUCAAGCCAGGAAUUUAUUUCUACUUAAAUAAACAUAAUGUACCUAUAUGAAUUUGGUAGUAAAUAAAAAGAGUUAUAAAUAAAA